AAGCUGUGUCCCAGGGAGCAGCGUGGCCUGAGCUGGCUGUGUCACCCUGGGGAGCUACAGAGGAGCCCCAGCAGAGGCUGGUGUCACCAGCCCGGGAGCAGCCUUGGCUUCCCCCACUGCUGCUUUGCAAGACAAGGAUGAGGCCUCUGCUCCCUGCAAGAGGAGUUUUCUGCAAAAGGUGCCAAAGUUUCCUCUAGCCUUCUUCAAGACAUCAUGUGUUAAAACCACUGGAAAGAAAGAGGAGAUUAAAAAGAUUAAAAAGAAUACUGCAAGUCUGAGUAAA